rnacentral:rRNA from 1 species
AUUGAACGCUGGCGGCAGGCCUAACACAUGCAAGUCGAGCGAGCGGCGGACGGGUGAGUAAUGUCUGGGGAUCUGCCCGAUAGAGGGGGAUAACUACUGGAAACGGUGGCUAAUACCGCAUACUCUCGGAUGAACCCAUCUGGGAUUAGCUAGUAGGUGGGGUAACGGGUCACCUAGGCGACGAUCGCUAGCUGGUCUGAGAGGAUGAUCGGCCACAUUGGGACUGAGACACGGCCCAGACGCCUACGGGAGGCAGCAGUGGGGAAUAUUGCACAAUGGGCGAAAGCCUGAUGCAGCCAUGCCGCGUGUAUGAAGAAGGCCUUAGGGUUGUAAAGUACUUUCAGCGGGGAGGCGUUACUCGCAGAAGAAGCACCGGCUAACUCCGUGCCAGCAGCCGCGGUAAUUC